GCGUUGAUGGUGUAAUGGUUAGCAUUGCUGCCUUCCAAGCAGUAGAUUUGGGUUCGAUUCCCGGUCAACGCA
rnacentral:tRNA from 1 species